UACGUAGGGACCGAGCGUUGUCCGGAAUCAUUGGGCGUAAAGAGCGUGUAGGCGGCCACUUAAGUCCUGCGUGAAAUCUUGCGGCUCAACCGCAAGCGGUCGUGGGAAACUGGGUGGCUAGAGUGCGGGAGAGGAGAGUGGAAUUCCUGGUGUAGCGGUGGAAUGCGCAGAUAUCAGGAAGAACACCCGUGGCGAAGGCGGCUCUCUGGAACGCAACUGACGCUGAGACGCGAAAGCGUGGGGAGCAAUCAGG
rnacentral:rRNA from 1 species